rnacentral:lncRNA from 1 species
UAUCCUCAACAUUCAUUUAUUUCUUGCUGAUUUAGAUACAAAAAUUUAGAGCUCAAAAAAUAGUUUAUUCUUUAGGCUUGGCCUGGCUCUCUUUUGGUCACACUUUCCCCUCAAAUUCCAUAUAUUUUCUCUACGUGUCAGCUAUAAAUAUAUAAUAAACAUAUAGCCGCACGAUUCUGCUGCAAAUUAAUGACGAAUCUCAUCAUAAUUUCAUCAAAUUGAUGCUCCGCUCUUAAAUCGCAAGCGGGAGACCCGACCUGUUCUGGUGAAUUUCAUCAGCAAGUGAAAAUUGUACAAAGAUGAUUGCGGCGGGGUGGUGUGGGUAAUAUAUGUGAGGGUGGUGGGGGGUAGCAACAUUUCAUAUUCAUAUCAUGAUCCGGGACUUGUGUGUCCUUUCCUUUCAAUUGAAUGCAUUUUCUUGCCUUUACACGGGCUCGGGUUAUGCCGUCAUCAGCUUCAUCUUUGUCGCUUCUCCAAAUGCCAUUGUUGGCUGACCAAAGAUUGUGUGGCUGCUACACGUAGAUUGAAAACGAAAGAUUGAAAUGUAUCUCGUGGAUACACACAGGGACACACAAGCACGGAGAGACAGAGUCCGACUUUGCGUAUAAAUAAAAUCAAAUUUCUUUCAGAUUGAAAUGAAAUUCCUUGAAGCACGAAUUCGUAUCUCUAUCUCUGGCAUGUGCGAUGUCUUUAUGUGUGUGUGUGUGUGUGUGUGUAGGAUAUCUUUCGGGCCACAUUAGCUUUAUGUAGAUGUGUUUUGUCAGAUAAUAAAUGAAUUGAAACGAGAA